rnacentral:rRNA from 1 species
CUACGGGGGGCUGCAGGCGAGAAAACUUUGCAAUGUGCGAAAGCACGACAAGGUUAAUCCGAGUGGUUUCUGCUAAAGGAACCUUUUGACAGUCCUAGAAACACUGUUGAAUAAGGGGUGGGCAAGUUCUGGUGUCAGCCGCCGCGGUAAAACCAGCACCUCAAGUGGUCAGGAUGAUUAUUGGGCCUAAAGCAUCCGUAGCCGGCUCUGUAAGUUUUCGGUUAAAUCUGUACGCUCAACGUACAGGCUGCCGGGAAUACUGCAGAGCUAGGGAGUGGGAGAGGUAGAUGGUACUCGGUAGGAAGGGGUAAAAUCCUUUGAUCUAUUGAUGACCACCUGUGGCGAAGGCGGUCUACCAGAACACGUCCGACGGUGAGGGAUGAAAGCUGGGGGAGCAAACCGGAUUAGAUACCCGAGUAGUC